CAACCUGGUUGAUCCUGCCAGUAGUCAUAUGCUUGCCUCAAAGAUUAAGCCAUGCAUGUCUAAGUAUAAACUUUUAUACGGUGAAACUGCGAACGGCUCAUUAAAUCAGUUGCAAUCGAAGUGGUUUUAUUAACAAUUUUGAUCGGAUAACACUGGCAAAUCUAGUGCUAAUACGUUUGGAUUCCUCUCUAGAGGGGUCCUCUCAUACUAGACGCAAAUGCCAAUUUUAUGGACGAAUCAUAGUAUAGAGUUGAUCGACUCCCGCGAGUCGACGUACCAUUCGAGCUUCUGCACUAUCAUCUCAGGUUGGUAGAGUAGUGGUCUACCAAGGAGUUUACGGUUAACGGAGGAUUAGGGUUCGACUCCGGAGAAUGAGCCUGAGAGACGGCUCAUACAUCCAAGGAUGGCAGCAGGCGCGAAAAUUACCCAAUGUACUAAGUACGAGGUAGUGACAAGGAAUAUCGAGGCUGGUGGACUUCUGUCCGUUCAGCCGUUGAAAUGGACGGGUUUCAAAGGGACCUGUGAACACGAGUCGAGGGAAAGGUCUGGUGCCAGCAGCCGCGGUAAUUCCAGCUCGACUAGCGUAUAUUAAAGUUGUUGCAGUUAAAACGUUCGUAGUUUGACUUGCGGUUGAGGAUGGGGUUUUAGGUCGAAAGACUUUUUGGGAGUAUGGGGGAUUUGAGGUUGCGUGCUUCGGCAUCAACUUCUAGCCCAUUAUUUCCGGGGAAAGACUACAAAAUAGUUUUUUCUUUGUUYCCAUUUCUUGACUGUCUUUUCUAUCUCCGGAUAGAAUAAUUACCAUGAGGAAAUAGGUACGUUCAAAGUAGGGUUCGYAAGACCCUUUUCUGUGUCUUGCUCACGUCUAAUAAACGUGGUCCGUUGAACAGGCCAGCAUGGGAUAAUGUAUUAUGACUCGGCGUCCUUUUACAUUGGCUAUCUUGCAGACGCAAAGUAAUGGUUAAUAGGAGUGAUCGCGUGGGCAUCAGGACCAGACGGGGACAGGUGAAAYAGGAUGAUCCGUCUGAGACUAUCUAAAGCGAAAGCAUUUGCCAAGUACACUUUCAUUAAUCAAGAUCGAAAGCCAGGGGAUAGAAGGCGAUUAGACACCACCGUAUUCCUGGCCAUAAACUAUACCAACUAAGAAUUGGAAGCGUAUUCCAUUUUUUUAAAUAUUGGUUCCUUUCAGCGCUCAUAGAGAAAUCGUUAAGUUUUCGGGUUCUGGGGGGAGUAUGGUCGCAAGGCUGAAACUUGAAGGCAUUGACGGAGAGAUACCACAAGACGUGGAGUCUGCGGCUCAAUUUGACUCAACACGUAAACCUUACCAGGCCCAGACGUGCGUGGGAUUGACAGAUUGAUAGUUCUUUCAUGAUUGCAUGGUUGGUGGUGCAUGGCCGUUCUUAGCCCGUAACGUAAGUCGUCUGCUUUAUUGCGAUAACGAGCGAGACCUCUGUGGUUAAAUGCCUAGGUUUUGGGUGGAUUUUUUCUAUUUUUGCUUAUUUGUUUUGCAAAUAAAUAAAAUUUUUAAAAUGCCCGUGAUCUGGGGAGGAGGAUUCUUCUUUCUCUCCUAUUAGGCUCUUAGCCAGACUGUUGACGAUUCCAAAGUCAAAGGAAGGUAGAGGCAAUAACAGGUCUGUGAUGCCCUUAGAUGCCCUGGGCCGCACGCGUACUACACUGGUGGAUUCAGAGAGUACAGGACGAGAGARUAAAUUUUUUUUUCGUUUGUGGGAUUUAAAGAUCUCACUACUCGAUAAUAUCCAUCGUGGCUGGGAUUGAGGCUUGGAACUAUGCCUCAUGAACAAGGAAUGUCUAGUAAGUGCACUUCACAAAGAUGCGCUGAUUCUGUCCCUGUCCCUUGUACACACCGCCCGUCGCUUGAUCCGAUUGGUUGCUUUGGCGAGUUCUUCGGACUACUUGGAAUAAGAGGGUGCCUCGGCAUUUUUUUAUUUUGGGAAGGAAGUUGUGCGAGCCUAAGGAAUUAGAGGAACAAGAAGUCGUAACAAGGUAUCYGUAGGUGAACCUGCAGAAGGAUCAAGCUU
rnacentral:rRNA from 1 species